rnacentral:lncRNA from 1 species
UUAUGCAUUUAUGAUUGGCGCCCGCAAAUGACGGAUCGAUUGAAGGCGCUUAAAAAUCGCGAUUUCGGUUUCGGUUUCUGAUUGCGUGAAGCGCCACCUGCUUCCUGCUGCAAGCGUCAUGGCGACUUCCUGUUUACUUUUCUGGCUCCAACGCGUGCGUUCAACUUCCAAACUUCUGCGCUGUUCUACGUGACAUUGUGAAAUCUAUACGGAUAUAUACGUGGUGGUCAUAUGUAGCACCACUCGGAGCAUCAAGCACCAAUAUUUGAUAUGCGACACUUUGCCUACUGGUCGUCAGAAGCUCGCAGAUGUUGAACAGCUGAUGGCGCAAGGAGAAUGCCAAUAUCUUCCUUGUACAUUUCAAAACAAUUCUUGAACAUGUAAUUCCCGUCCAGAAGUGUUGCGUCCUUCAGUCAUCCUACUGUGUUCCUCCUGAAAUGCCAAUAAAAAGUACAAUGUGAAAA